GCCGUCAUAGCUCAGUGGAAGAGCGUGAGCCUCAUGGAAAUAUGCGAGACAAAGGAAAAGAACCUGGGCGCCUUUGUCCUCUCCAUUCAGGAAAGCUCAAGGUCGUCUGUUCGAUCCAGACUGACGGCA